CACCGGCGGCUCGAGUGGUGGCCGCUAUUAUUGGGUCUAAAGCGUCCGUAGCCGGCUUGGCAAGUCCCCUGGGAAAUCUGGCGGCUUAACCGUCAGGCGUCCAGAGGAUACUGCCAGGCUUGGGACCGGGAGAGGUGAGAGGUACCUCAGGGGUAGGGGUGAAAUCUUGUGAUCCCUGAGGGACCACCAGUGGCGAAGGCGUCUCACUAGAACGGGUCCGACGGUCAGGGACGAAAGCUGGGGGCACGAACCGG
rnacentral:rRNA from 1 species